GACGAACGCUGGCGGCGUGCUUAACACAUGCAAGUCGAACGGAAAGGCCCUGCUUUUGUGGGGUGCUCGAGUGGCGAACGGGUGAGUAACACGUGAGUAACCUGCCCUUGACUUUGGGAUAACUUCAGGAAACUGGGACUAAUACCGGAUAGGAGCUCCUGCUGCAUGGUGGGGGUUGGAAAGUUUCGGCGGUUGGGGAUGGACUCGCGGCUUAUCAGCUUGUUGGUGGGGUAGUGGCUUACCAAGGCUUUGACGGGUAGCCGGCCUGAGAGGGUGACCGGCCACAUUGGGACUAAGAUACGGCCCAGACUCCUACGGGAGGCAGCAGUGGGGAAUAUUGCACAAUGGGCGGAAGCCUGAUGCAGCAACGCCGCGUGCGGGAUGACGGCCUUCGGGUUGUAAACCGCUUUCGCCUGUGACGAAGCGUGAGUGACGGUAAUGGGUAAAGAAGCACCGGCUAACUACGUG
rnacentral:rRNA from 1 species